rnacentral:rRNA from 1 species
AACGCUAGCUACAGGCUUAACACAUGCAAGUCGAGGGGCAGCAUUUCAGUUUGCUUGCAAACUGGAGAUGGCGACCGGCGCACGGGUGAGUAACACGUAUCCAACCUGCCGAUAACUCGGGGAUAGCCUUUCGAAAGAAAGAUUAAUACCCGAUGGUAUAAUCAGACCGCAUGGUUUGAUUAUUAAAGAAUUUCGGUUAUCGAUGGGGAUGCGUUCCAUUAGGCAGUUGGUGAGGUAACGGCUCACCAAACCUUCGAUGGAUAGGGGUUCUGAGAGGAAGGUCCCCCACAUUGGAACUGAGACACGGUCCAAACUCCUACGGGAGGCAGCAGUGAGGAAUAUUGGUCAAUGGGCGCAGGCCUGAACCAGCCAAGUAGCGUGAAGGAUGACUGCCCUAUGGGUUGUAAACUUCUUUUAUAUGGGAAUAAAGUUUUCCACGUGUGGAAUUUUGUAUGUACCAUAUGAAUAAGGAUCGGCUAACUCCGUGCCAGCAGCCGCGGUAAUACGGAGGAUCCGAGCGUUAUCCGGAUUUAUUGGGUUUAAAGGGAGCGUAGGUGGACAGUUAAGUCAGUUGUGAAAGUUUGCGGCUCAACCGUAAAAUUGCAGUUGAUACUGGCUGUCUUGAGUACAGUAGAGGUGGGCGGAAUUCGUGGUGUAGCGGUGAAAUGCUUAGAUAUCACGAAGAACUCCGAUUG